UAGUCAUAUGCUUGUCUCAAAGAUUAAGCCAUGCAAGUCUAAGUAUAAGCAUUUAUACUGUGAAACUGCGGAAAGCUCAUUAUAUCAGUUAUAGUUUAUUUGAUGGUACACCCACUACAUGGAUAACCGUAGUAAUUCUAGAGCUAAUACAUGCCCAGGUGCGGCGACUUUUUGGAGCCGUGGACUUAUUAGAUCAAGAGCCAACCCUGCUUGCAGGACUGAGCUGAAUCAUAGUAAUUUUGCUAAUCGCAGAGGUCUUGUACCGGCGAUGGGUCAUU
rnacentral:rRNA from 1 species